rnacentral:rRNA from 1 species
GUGCCAGCAGCCGCGGUAAGACGGAGGGUGCUAGCGUUGUUCGGAAUUACUGGGCGUAAAGGGCGCGUAGGCGGCUACGGCAGUCGGGUGUGAAAGCCCGGGGCUCAACCCCGGAACGGCAUCCGAUACUCUGUGGCUAGAGACCGGAAGAGGUGGGUGGAAUACCCAGUGUAGAGGUGAAAUUCGUAGAUAUUGGGUGGAACACCGGUGGCGAAAGCGGCUCACUGGUCCGGUUCUGACGCUGAGGCGCGAAAGCGUGGGGAGCAAACAGGAUUAGAUACCCUGGUAGUCC